CGCACAUUGCGCCCUUUGGCAUUCCGAAGGGCAUGCCUGUUCGAGCGUCAUUACACCAAUCAAGCCUGGCUUGGUAUUGGGCGACGGGGCCGUCACACGCCCCGCGCCCCAAUGACCUUCCGGCGGGACGGACCGUAUCUCAGCGUUGUGCAUCACGUAUCGCUGGCGAGGACGGGACGGCCGUGCCGUUAAACCCCCCAUUUCUCAGGUUGACCUCGGAUCAGGUAGGGAUACCCGCUGAACUUAA
rnacentral:misc_RNA from 1 species